CCACCGCCAGCACGAAGGCCACAGGCAGCACCAGGGCGCGGUAGGCGGCGAUAAGGCGCGUGCAGUCCACGUGCCAGCCCAGGCGCUGCUGCAAGUAUGGAGUCAUGACUCUGGCAUCCAGCAAGCUGAGGCCUGGCAACAGGUAGUAGUAGUAGGCCACCGUGCUGCCGAAGCCGUAGUAGCUGAUGGACGCGUAGUCCAGGUAGAAGAAGGCGGCGCGCAGGCGCAGCGACAGGCAGCUGAACACGUGCGCCGUGCAGCUCAUGGCGAAGGUCAGCAGCACUCCCGACGCGUAGCACCACAACGGUAGCAGCCACGGGUGGUGGAAGGGCACGUCGCCGCCGCUCAGGAAGAACAGACGGCAGAACUUGCUCAGGAACAGCAGCAGCGGGAUGAAGUGCGUCCAGAAGUUGAGCGUCUCGUUGGACUUCUAUUUGGAACUGAGUCCGACAGCUCAGGACUGGCUGCUCAGACUCCACAAUUUAAUGAAAAAUCUCAGAUGAUGACUCAGAAAACCUCUAAUGAUCUGAGGAAUAUAUUAAGGGAUUCCAGAGUCAAAGGCUGAUCAUGGAGGGCAUUGAUGAGGGAAGACUUCAGGAUGCUGCCUCCUGAGAAGCUGUUGUGUAGCCAGCCUUGA
rnacentral:lncRNA from 1 species